UGGGGAAUCUUGCGCAAUGGGCGAAAGCCUGACGCAGCGACGCCGCGUGCGGGAAGAAGGCCUUCGGGUUGUAAACCGCUUUCAGGAGGGACGAAGCCACUCGGGUUAAUAGCCCAGAGGGUGACGGUACCUCCAGAAGAAGCCCCGGCUAACUACGUGCCAGCAGCCGCGGUAAUACGGAGGGUGCGAGCGUUGUUCGGAAUCACUGGGCGUAAAGCGCGUGUAGGCGGCCCAUUAAGUCUGAUGUGAAAGCCCGGGGCUCACCCCCGGAAGUGCAUUGGAAACUGAUGGACUCGAGUCCCGGAGAGGAGAGUGGAAUUCCUGGUGUAGCGGUGAAAUGCGUAGAUAUCAGGAGGAACACCGGUGGCGAAGGCGGCUCUCUGGACGGUGACUGACGCUGAGACGCGAAAGCGUGGGGAGCAAAC
rnacentral:rRNA from 1 species